rnacentral:rRNA from 1 species
AACGUAGGUACCGAGCGUUAUCCGGAUUUACUGGGCGUAAAGCGCGUUCAGGCGGUUUGGCAAGUCGGGCAUGAAAUCUCUCGGCUCAACCGGGAGAGGUUGUCCGAUACUUCCAGACUUGAGGGCAGUAGAGGGAUGUGGAAUUCCAGGUGUAGCGGUGAAAUGCGUAGAUAUCUGGAGGAAUACCGGUGGCGAAGGCGGCAUCCUGGACCGGCAUUGACGCUGAUGAGCGAAAGCUAGGGGAGCAAACGGG